CCAAUAGUGAGUCCAAUAGUAAGACCAAUAGUGAGUCCAAUAAUGAGACCAAUAGUGAACCAAUUGCAGUUGAAGCAGAGCCUUUAUAGAGCAAGUUGUUGUCGGUCACGUGUGUUUUAGGAGCAGAGGAUCCAAGAUCACUCCGUUGUGGACGAGUGAGGAAGGAAGCUAUACUGUUUUUGUUUUUUAAAUAAAAUAAACACAGUGACACGACAUCUGUUUCAAAUGCAGUUUCUCCCCCAGAAAUAAAAAUCAGUCUCCAUAUUUUAAAUAAAAGUUUAUUAAAGGUUAACAAGCUCAACAACAGUAAACUAAACUGAAAAGGCAGUUCUAAGAAACACAUUUAUUAAAAAAAAAAAGUUAUGCAAGCAAUAUCCCAAGGCCUUGAUUGGUCCAUUCACUCCCAUUGAUCCAGAUGGUCAUAUAUACACACCACACACACACACACAAGGGUUUAAG
ensembl:lncRNA